rnacentral:ncRNA from 1 species
UAAAAUACUGCAGAUGGGGGAAGUCGGGAUUCUUAAUCCAUAACAUCGGAAAGAGGAUUGGCUCUGAAAGCUGAGCGGAACAGGCUAAGGAAAGAAACAAGCUAACUCAGUUUGCUGAUGGACGGGCUGGCUAACUGUUGAUACACCGCCUCCACCGCCGUCGUUGCGGUGGUGGGUGGGUGUGGAGCAUGCAGUUGAGCCCAUCCCUUGGCUGGAGGCGAGUAGGGUGAACCGUGGGCGGACCCAGAUAAAUGUGCACCUCGGUCGAUUGAUUGGUUAGUUAGUUGUCGAUGAUGCUGCUUGUUGGCUGUUAGUUGGCGAGUGUUGUGGUGCUCGGCACUGCUACUGGUUAGCCUCGUUGGGGGGUGCUUGUUUAGUGCCAAACACCCAACCCAGAACUAACAUGGACCUGAAAAAUCCGACUCUCCAAUUAAAACGUAGUUUUGUGAUGUCCGCUGGUUUGUUCUAGUGCAAUGUGAUUUCUGCCCAGUGCUCUGAAGUCAAAGUGAAGAUUUUCAACCAUACGCGGGUAAAUGGCGGGAGUAACUACGACUCUCUUAAGGUAGCCAAAUGCCUCGUCAUCUAACUAGUGACGCGCAUGAAUAAAAUUAAUGAGAUUUCUAUUGGCCCUGGCUACCAUCUAGCGAAAUCACAGCCAAGGGAGCAGGCUUGG